GUGUUCAAGCUUCAAUAUACCAAAGCAAUUGAAUUAAUAGAGGUGGGUUUAAACAUGGAGAAAGACUGGUUAUAUAAAUUGGGUUUGUUAGUGUUACAAUUGACUAUACUCUGGCCAUCUGAAAUCAAUUAUUAAACUACAAAAUACCAAGGCUUACUACUUCCGUCUUAAUUCAAUAUAUAAUCCAUUCUAUGACUAUCAAUUCAAUAAUACUUCUAUAUUCUUAUCCAUUCAUCUCCCACUUACUUUCUUUCUAAUUUAUAUAUAUCUUCAAUUACUGAUCUCUAACUUACCUAUUAUAUU
rnacentral:lncRNA from 1 species